UACGUAGGGAGCGAGCGUUAAUCGGAAAUACUGGGCGUAAAGCGUGCGCAGGCGGCUUUGCAAGACAGAUGUGAAAUCCCCGGGCUCAACCUGGGAACUGCAUUUGUGACUGCAAGGCUAGAGUACGGCAGAGGGGGAUGGAAUUCCGCGUGUAGCAGUGAAAUGCGUAGAUAUGCGGAGGAACACCAAUGGCGAAGGCAAUCCCCUGGGCCUGUACUGACGCUCAUGCACGAAAGCGUGGGGAGCAAACAGG
rnacentral:rRNA from 1 species